rnacentral:tRNA from 1 species
GAUAUGGUUUAAAUUCAGAGCAAAAAGUUGGUUCUGCAUAAAGUGCUGAAGCAAUUUAUGUGGGGCUAUAGCUCAGCUGGGAGAGCGCUUCGCUGGCAGCGAAGAGGUCAUCGGUUCGACCCCGAUUAGCUCCACCACUGACUUCCUAUGUCCCGUUCGUCUAGAGGCCUAGGACACCGCCCUUUCACGGCGGUAACAGGGGUUCGACUCCCCUACGGGAUACCAUCUUUAAGCACAUUUUUUUGAUAAGAAAGUAUUAAGUGUUCUUAAAAAUGGUUACUUCAUUAGAAGUGAUUAGCUCU